rnacentral:misc_RNA from 1 species
AUAUUUAGACGGAAGUUUAUGUAUUUAAUGUGUAUGAAGCAAAUUCUAGGUAGUGUUUGUAUUUCUGUUUGUUUAUAUGCAGGUGGGUUGCUGAAAUAAGCUUAAAUUCAGAUGCCCAUUUAAGCAUUAAUCUAAAGGGCCUUAUAAAUAUAACGAAUUGCUGUAUUUUUGGGAAGACAUUACAAUUUGAAUCCUAUUGGUGUUCUAAUGUAUGCUAAUCUAGUGCGUACCUGCAAACUAG